rnacentral:rRNA from 1 species
AGUGAACGCUGGCGGUAGGCCUAACACAUGCAAGUCGAACGGCAGCACAGUAAGAGCUUGCUCUUACGGGUGGCGAGUGGCGGACGGGUGAGGAAUACAUCGGAAUCUACUUUUUCGUGGGGGAUAACGUAGGGAAACUUACGCUAAUACCGCAUACGACCUACGGGUGAAAGCAGGGGAUCUUCGGACCUUGCGCGAUUGAAUGAGCCGAUGUCGGAUUAGCUAGUUGGCGGGGUAAAGGCCCACCAAGGCGACGAUCCGUAGCUGGUCUGAGAGGAUGAUCAGCCACACUGGAACUGAGAAACGGUCCAGACUCCUACGGGAGGCAGAAGUGGGGAAUAUUGGACAAAGGGCGCAAGCCUGAUCCAGCCAUACCGCGUGGGUGAAGAAGGCCUUCGGGUUGUAAAGCCCUUUUGUUGGGAAAGAAAAGCAGCAGGUUAAUACCCCGCUGUUCUGACGGUACCCAAAGAAUAAGCACCGGCUAACUUCGUG